CCCGUCAGCCGCGCCGCCACUGACUCACGGCCCCAGCACUGGGCAUGUGCGGGGCGGCGGCGUGAGGCACGCGGCCGUUAACGGGGCGCGCGGAGCCCGGCCUUGGCUUGGCCGCUCUCAGCCGAGCCCUGCCCGCGCCGCCUCCCAGCCCAGCGCCUCGGCCCAAAAUGGCUGAGGAGCCGCGGUCCGAGGGCUGGCGGUCACGAGUUGAGCGCGGCCGCUGAGGAAGGAGCCAGGUGCACGGCCGGGCACCUCGCAGCGCUUCUCCUCCCCUCGGUCUGCUGCUGGCCGUGCUCUUACAGAAACAGCGCCCGAGUUUGGUGCGGCACCCACCGUGCCUCGGAAAGGCAAAGAGAGGAGCGCCUCAGUCAGACCGCGGCCAGAAAACCAAGAGGCAGCAGAGAAUAGGAUGCUCUGGCUCUUUCUUACCAGCAAUACUCUGCCCCAUGGAUGGAGUGGGCGAGCUGAGCAGAAAGCCCUCUGCAGCUGGCAGAGAUACUGCACGUUUCUACCUCCGAGCAAGUUCCCUACUCACCAGGAUCCAGGGGAUGCCACUCUGCUUUGUCUA